ensembl:lncRNA
AUUUUAGUAUAUGCAAAAAAAACCCCUACUAUAUUAAAAAAAGUACUAAAAUAUUGUCUAAUAUUAUUUAGAAUAUGUAAUCCAGUCUAAGGUUUUGAUUAUUCUCAACAGUUUAAAUGCAAAUCCUUCUCUUAGACAACUUUCAUGUGAGGAAAACAGUUUUCUUUUCCCCCCUAGAAUUUUGUUACUUUAAUUUCCCCUAACAGAUGUUGACAUUAAUGCAGCCAAACCUGCAUAACUCACAGAGAGUAAUUUAAAGCUCCCAUAAAUGAGAAUGAGAAUCAGAAGGAGCAUUACUACUGCUUAAAUGUUAUUGACAGAGAGACACAAAAAUGAAAGCUGGACCUUUACUAGUAAUGGAAUAUUUUAUAUUAUAUUAAUAUUAUAUUAUAUAGUAUUUUCUUGGCAUUUAUUGUAUAAUUACCUCAAGUAUAUAGCCAAUUAGUGAGUGUAAUCUGUAACAGUCUUUGUUGUAGUUUUACUUUCACAUUUUAGUCUAUCUAUACAAAUAAUAAUACAUUUGUCAUGCAAUUAUACAAAUAUACGCUGUAAAUGCUCAUAUUACACUAAAUUCCCAUAGAAACUAUGAAUAUUGCUCUCCCUCGUAUUAUCGCUUAUUUACUGGAAAGAGGGUUUAACUAUUAACCAUGUGUGUAUCACUGUAAAUCUUAUAAGCUUACACUCACACCUUUCCAUCCAGCAACAGCUCCUUCUGUUGGUCAAUAACAUGGUUGCAACAUUUUUAGAUUAUGAACGUUUAUACACCACACACAUAUAAGACAGUAGUGUACAGUCAUUUUCACACAUUGUGUCUAAGAGUACAAAUGUAUCAGCAUGACUACAAUAAUGUUGGCAGUUGUUUAACUAUUGCUCACAUUACAGAAAAAAACAAUGGGGUAGGAAGAACUCACCUUACAGCAUCUCUCCAGAGGAGCUGCCAGUUUUAGGCUUCAUUUAAUUUGCGAGUCUGGACAACUGCCUGAGCAGGUUCAGGCAGAAUACACACCUCUCACUUACUCUGGAGGCCCUCAGUUCAAACAGGUUUUUCCAUGCUGAGUGAAGCUCCUCUCAACAUACAGGCAACUGAAGAAAAUCGUGGGUGUUUGUAAAACUGGAAACUGGAAUGUGACUAAAUAUCUGCCAAGCGCUCUCUCGCAUGAGAAGAUAGAACUAUAAAACAUAUUUUAUAAAUAUCUGUUCUAACAGAUUUUUUUUAUUUUAAAAACACCCAUUAAAACACCAUUUGUAGGGUUGGAAGAAGGAUUGGGGUAACCUGCAAGUCUUGUAAUUCUGUGGUGGUACUGAGUGGUACUGACCAUCUGCAAACAGUCAGUAGCACUCUAAAUUUACUAUAUUACUGUGAAUCAGGGCGACAAGAAAAGAUAAAAAAUGACAACAACAAAAACAUGACAAAAACAUACAUUUAUACAAGCUGACUUCAAAGCGAUUUAGUUAACAGUUAAGGAAAUUUAAUUCAUUUGAAUUAUUCCCAUAAGCCUGCAGCGAAGGCAAUGUUUAUGAAUAUAAAGAAAUUAAAAAAGAACAUACAAAAACCUACAGGAGUUCACAUUAGAGCCAGUUAUCUAGAAACAUAUAUAUUUGGAGAAACGUAACGUACAUGCCUAGAAAAAAGAUUUUCACACCUAUGUGUAUAUUAAUGUAUACAGAUACACAAAACGGUUUCACAGUCACUAAAUAAAAUUGAAUAAACUUAAAAUAAAAGUGUGUCUUUUGUGCAGAUGAUUACUGUCACAAAGUAUAAUUUUCAUUUUGCCCUAAAGAGAAACAUUUUUAUUGUAAUUUGGUGUUUCUGCGGUCACAUUUGACACAAAAAAUUGGCGCUAUACAGCAACACAAUACCUCAAAGCACAACAAAGCAAAAAAAUUACCGUAAUU